UGUGUCUGAGCUGUCACAACAACCAUUUCCAGAAGCAAAGUAGGUGUGCUGUGGCAUCUCUUAGUACAGGGAUGCUAACGUUAAACAAGUGGCAAAACAAGCGGAAUGCCAGAUGCUGGAAUACUGUAAAGAGAAGAAACUGAUGUAGCUGUAGUGCUGCAUGUUAAACAUCGCGGCUCCAUCUUCUGUUCAUCUUUGGUGAAAUCCUUAAAGCAGAUGGGGCCCCAGUGGUCGGAAAUGUGUGGAGGAGCUGGCAUGAUGAGAGAAGACUUUCACUACAUCCCUUCUCCAGGGAACUAGAUCCAUGACACCAACAUUAACUCUUUUGGACAAUGGUGCCUUCAAGUUCUUAAUUUGUUCCCACUAGGCCCUGACUCUUAAAGGUUCAGCCACAUCCCAGAAUCACUGCACUUGGGACCAGAUUUCCAGCACAUAAACCCUUCGGUCACAAACACAAACUAUAUCCUACUCAUAGUACUUAGAAUGCUCUAAUAUAAGCAAACAGUUCUUUUUCAUAGAGUAUGCUUAGCAUCUCACUAACAUUACUUCAAAUAUUUCCUGAACACAGUUGGUUACCGAGAUGGAUUCUAUUUGAUCUUUUCCUGAGAAACUGCCCUGACAAAGCCCUAGUGUCUAAAUGUAAUACACCUUUCUUCCUUCAGAGAGAAUUUGCCGGAAAUUCUGCUUUUCACGCUGCCCACGGUCUUCACUUGAUACUGAUAAUCCCUUCACUGUAAUACAGAAGGGUUGAUGGGAGCAGCUGUCCGUACUGUAAUCUGGAAAUCCUGUGAAUGGUGCUGAUAUCAAGCAACUAAAAAUAGAGAAGAGCUACUUCUACAAUACCUGGUUCAUCUUAACAAUUUCAGGUUCCAGAGGAUUACGACUUCACAGUAUGUUAAGAUGAUAAACCAUUCUCUAGAAGAUAGAUGGAAUAUGACAGUGACUCCGGCAUCCAGAGGAAAUUGCAAUAGGACUAAGGACUGCAAAUUCUAUUUUAAAACCUCUCUAAUUGGCCUUCAGGGGCUUCAACAACCAAGGCUUGGAGACAAAAGCUAAGGAACACAAAAGGACUAAGAAAACGGCCGGCAUUUUGGCCCUUGUACUGCAAAGGCGUGAUGAGGCCCCUCUGAGGAGACCCUGCAUCUACGUUGAGACAAAGAACCAGCCAAGUAGAUUUCCCCCAGGGAAGGAGCCCAGCAGUGUGCGCUAUAAUAAAGGGAAACAGGAGGGGAAGGUCGCCAUCCUCCCAAAGGCAGCUACGUGCUCAGGCAUGGCCACGGCACAUCCUGAAAGCUAACACAAUCGGUAAAGAUCUGAGGAAGCCAAAGACUCUUCACACGCCCCACCGUAACUCUGAAAGCAUCGACCAUCCGUAACAGCAGAGAGAGUUUAGAUUCGAUACUCAUUCUGCAACACACCACAGGGAAGUAUAACCAGUCAGUUAAUCUCAAAAAAUGGAAAAAAACAGAAACCCGCUUUGUUUCUUCCUCUGCAAGAUUAACGAGGGUAACAUCCCUCAAGGAGGAAUGAUGCAGUUAUGACACAGUCAGGGACCACCAUAAAGAUAGGAAACAGGCGGAAUCCUGGAACCUAACUUGUUUCUCCUUCAAAGCAUGAUUUAUAUUUCUUUCUGGGACAAUCAGGGGCUUGAAAGUCAUUUUUCCUAUGAGUCAUGUCUCUUCCCUUGGGUCGAACAGGUAACUAAAACCAGAACAAAGCUCGGCUCUCGUUUGUAUCCUGUGUUAUUGUAAGUCUCUCCUCUCAGCUGGGCAGAGGGUGUGUUGAUCAUUUAGGGGAUGUCUGUCGAGGAGA